rnacentral:rRNA from 1 species
AACGAACGCUGGCGGCAUGCCUAACACAUGCAAGCCGAACGAGAUCUUCGGGUAUAGUGGCGCAAGGGUGCGUAACGCGUGGGAAUCUGACCUUUGGUUAGGAAGAAAAGUUGGACACGACCGCUAAUACCGGAAGAUGAAGAAAGUCCAAAGAUUUAUCGCCAGAGGUUGAGCCCGCGUAGGAAUAGCCAGUUGGUGUGGUAAAGGCGCACCAAGGCGACGAUCCUUAGCUGGUCUGAGAGGAUGAUCAGCCACACUGGGACUGAGACACGGCCCAGACUCCUACGGGAGGCAGCAGUGGGGAAUAUUGGACAAUGGGCUAAAGCCUGAGCCAUCAAUGCCGCGUGAGUCAUGAAGGCCUUAGGGUUGUAAAGCUCUUUUACCCGGGAUGAUAAUGACAGUACCGGGAGAAUAAGCUCCGGCUAACUCCGUGCCAGCAGCAGCCGCAG